ACUAUUACGUUAUAGCCUGAAGAAACCUCUAAGAGUGUGUGAAUCUGCAGUAUGACACAGAAAAGAAGCUUAGUCCAUUGUUCUCUUGAGGGUGAUACAGGUGAUUGUGCCACCCAAGAAAUGCCCUUUCUAUGGAAAGUCUUCUGCCGCUAAAAGAAUGUAAGCACAAAGAGCAGCUGAAACAGAAGAAGA